rnacentral:rRNA from 1 species
GACGAACGCUGGCGGCGUGCUUAACACAUGCAAGUCGAACGGAAAGGCCCUGCUGUUGUGGGGUGCUCGAGUGGCGAACGGGUGAGUAACACGUGAGUAACCUGCCCUUGACUUUGGGGUAACGUCAGGAAACUGGGGCUCAUACCGGAUAGAAGCUCCUGAUGCAUGGUGGGGGUUGGAAAGUUUCGGCGGUUGGGGAUGGAUUCGCGGCUUAUCAGCUUGUUGGUGGGGUAGUGGCAUACCAAGGCUUUGACGGGUAGCCGGCAUUAGAGGGUGACCGGGGCCCAUACGCCUGCGGGAGGGAGCAGUGUGGAACUGUGGGCAGUGGGCGGGAGCAUGGCACAACGAGGCGGCGUGUGGUGUGAAAGCGUCGGGUGUGGGAAGUGGGUUUUCGGGUUGUGAACAGCCUUCGUCUGUGAAGGAGCGGUCGUGACGGUACCGGAUAAAGAAGCACCGGCUAACUACGUG